rnacentral:rRNA from 1 species
UGGGGAAUAUUGGACAAUGGGCGCAAGCCUGAUCCAGCCAUGCCGCGUGAGUGAUGAAGGUCUUAGGAUUGUAAAGCUCUUUCACCGGUGAAGAUAAUGACGGUAACCGGAGAAGAAGCCCCCGGCUAACUUCGUGCCAGCAGCCGCGGUAAUACGAAGGGGGGCUAGCGUUGCUCGGAAUUACUGGGCGUAAAGCGCAUGUAGGCGGAUAUUUAAGUCAGGGGUGAAAUCCCGCAGCUCAACUGCGGAACUGCCUUUGAUACUGGGUAUCUUGAGUAUGGAAGAGGUGAGUGGAAUUCCGAGUGUAGAGGUGAAAUUCGUAGAUAUUCGGAGGAACACCAGUGGCGAAGGCGGCUCACUGGUCCAUUACUGACGCUGAGGUGCGAAAGCGUGGGGAGCAAAACAGGAUUAGAUACCCUGGUAGUCCACGCCGUAAACGAUGAAUGUUAGCCGUCGGGCAGUAUACUGUUCGGUGGCGCAGCUAACGCAUUAAACAUUCCGCCUGGGGAGUACGGUCGCAAGAUUAAAACUCAAAGGAAUUGACGGGGUCAUAGCUGUUUCC